GAUGCGUAGGUUGUACUGCUACAGUUUCGAAGUAUGAGGGAAUUGUACGAAACUCAAUUUGGAAGGUACACUAACACCACGUAGCGUACACAAUAGUCACAGGAAAAUCAAAUUUGUAACGAUCAUCAGUACCAAUCAAUUGGAUAGAAUGGGUUAAUGUUUUGAGAUGAUACCUAUCAUUGGCAAGGAGAGAUUUUGGUGAUUGAUUUUGUAAUGAAUUUGGAAUUUGAAACCAAGGGUUUCAUCUAAUAGAGGUUUGAUUUACAGGAUAUAUAUUUAUGAGGUCGAAAGUUCAAUUGAUUUUGAUAAUUAGUGUUUUAGUUUGUGCUUUUGGAGGCAAAGCAGAAUCGGGAAGAAGAAGAUGAUGAAGAGGAAUAAAAGAAGUUUUUUUAAUUAUCUCAUUAGCUCAAACUGAUGCUGCUCUCUUGGAAGAGCUUACAUAUCUGUCCUUAUGAGUUUGGGACCUUCGAGCCUCAUAAGUCCCUGGAUGAAGUGUUGCUGAGCAUUACAGUCGGGGACACCUGUUGCAACUUCGAAUCCAUGAACUGGCUUAAUGGAUUGAUCUCACAUAACACAUUAAAGAAGGAGACUUGAAUCAACCUGGUACCGUCAAUUGGCCCACUGGAUUGAGUUUUUCUACUCUCUGGUGAUCACUCAUUGUGUACCGAAUUCCCUCAUGAUCGAGCGAUGAAGAACUCACUUGGCCUUGAUAUUCAUAACCUAAACAACUUCAACAUAUGGAAGAGGGAAAAUUCAGGACACCUCAAUACACUGAUUUGGCCUUUGAAAUGUGGAGACAAACUGAUAAUAACCGUCUGGUGACUGUUUUUCACAAGUCGGUAGUAAUGUUGCAGAACAUUCAACAGUUGUACGUAGUCACAAUGUGCUCUAACUUCGUAAAGAAAUACCAAGGUCGUUGAAGCCUGAUGAUUUCACGGAUUUUCCUUUUUGAGGUCUUUGAAGCGAAAUUUGAAGGAAUCGGGAGCAGUUUUGAGAUCGAGGGAUACGGAUAAAGCUUAAGAAAGGGAUGAUGAUGGUUGUGCGGAUUUUUUUGGUUGACUAAAACUCAUGGGAAGAAAUUUUGGGCAAAGUUGAAUCAGAAGGAAAAGAAGAAACAUGCUAAAACCCUAUAAUUGUUAUCUCUACAGGGGUCUCUUAGGUCUGAAUUCGAUCUAAACUAAUGUAAUACGGUUACCAAUUAUGAUAAUUAGGAUUGAAAUCUUAACUUUACUCCCAAUUUUUAUUGAUUCGAUACUUUGAAACUCACUUGCUGGGGUUGCUGUUGGUGCUGGAUGGCAAAGUGUCAUAGCUUAUGUGAACCUAGCCUGCUAUUACUUGGUCAGAAUUCCUCUUCAAAUGAUCCUCGGUUACCUUACCGAUUUUCAAGUUACAGUAAUUUAUUUACUAAAAGUUUGUCUAUGCUAAACCAUAAAGCAAUCCUGAGUGAUAUAGCCAGCAAGUACUCUGAUGGUAAACAACGGCUGUGUGACGGUGUGAGGUCAGUCUUAUCAUCUACUUUAAGUCUCUGCACCUAUUGGAAAAAGUGCUAUUUAAAAAAGUACAGCAGAAAACGUUGCUUCCAAUGAGAUACGGUUUUUUGACUUUACUUGGUCAAGUGCUACUUUGUUUGAAACUAACUCGAGUAUGCUAUUGUAUCUAAUGUAUAGCUUCCUUGCCUACCGAAUCUGCCACUCACCAUGGAAGACUUGAUGCAGACUUGAGUAUCAUCAAUACUUCAUUGGGAACGUCAAUUUAAAAGGGAUUGUUACCGAAUUUGUCAGUUCAAGUGUACUGGAAUUUUUUUCUUUCGUAUUUUUUUCCAGCAAGAUAAUUUGCUGGAAAGUAGUGUGUAUGGGGUUGAAAUGGCCUAGAUGUACUAUUGUUUCUUACCGUUUAAUCGUGAUUAUGUACAUGAAAUCUCUAGGAUUAAAAUUUAUUCAUGUCUUUCCAUUAAGGGGGUGUGUCUUUACAUGCAGGGCUAUUCAAGUGAUAGUAUAGUUGUAUUAUGGGAUCAAGUAGUUAUUGAAUUCUUCACCUAAUACAAACUUAUACCAGCCUGUGGAGGUUAAUGUUUGUGGUUGCGAUAGAGGCUUGGUAAAAUUCGCAAGGCUGGCAAUGGUUGCAUUAAUUCUUUCAAAUUUUGUAUCUCAAUUUUGUAUUAUUUUAUUUUUGAAUAGGUUGCGGAUUUGGAUUUUGUUUUUGAUUGUUCUUCCACCAGGUGAAUCAAAAUACUUCACUUAUAAUAAGUAGGAUCAUCCAGACAGGUAGUCAAUUUGAAGGUACAGAGGCCCCAUCAUAGUAAAGGUUGGAAACAAGGACGGCGAACUGUUGGCACUUACAAAUUAUUGAUCUGGUGACAUUUUGCAUAAUGCUGGAAGGCCAGCUAUUUUCCUAUAGGUUGAUAACACUGCCAACAGACCUCUUUAAGGUGUGUCUUCUUAAUACAUUGAGUCUUUUUUGGUCUUUUUUGGAAAUUUGAUGUCAACUGUAAUCAUUAUUUUUGUUUUGUAAUCUGACAUUGUAUCAUUCUAUAUAUCCUUAAUUUACUAUUUUAGCAUGAGAGUGAAUGUGUACCAGCAGGUGUAUACCGAGGCACAACCAGCACCUCAUUGUAAGUUUGGUUGUUCAAUACGUAUCGAUCCUUGCGUAGUUACAUACUUAUUGAUUUAUUAAAAAUUAUACGCCAGCUUUGAGUAAUAAUGAACCAAUAAUAAAAGUGGAUGGUGGUCGUACUGUUAAGGGUGGAAUAAUGCUCUUGCAACAAACCAAAAAAAUAUAAACAAAAAGCUUCUCUUAACCUAUAAUUAUACUUCCAUACUUGAUUUUGCACGCAUCUUUAGCCUGCAACAACUAGAUAUGUUUCACCUGUAAUUUGUUCUACCGGGAGAAUUGAUCAAGUCUUUUAUGUAUAGCGUAAACUGGAGCAUACUUCAACAAAGUACAGUUGAUAUCCCUUUCUCAUGCAAAGAUAAAUGAAGUAAAUCAUUAAGUGCAAUGUUAUUGUCUUCUUAUUUACUUCUAUAUAUAUUUUGUUCUAGGGAAUCUUGAUUUGCGCUUUUUUCACUUUCUGUAUGCAUGGAAAUCCGCUAGGGGAAUCCAAAUACUACCCACAUUAAGGGAGUCUUUUAACGUAUGUACUCAAGCUAAGAGGAAUUUAGUUCCACCUUCAAGUAGUGCUAUUUAAUUGUUAAAUUUUUCUGCUUUUGGCAGGUAUGGGUAAAUUAUUGUUACUUUAGGAUGUGGAUUUGCAAUGAAAAUUUAAUUAUUAAUUUUUGUUCUCCCAAUGUCGUAGGAAUCAUCUCAGAUUUUUUGCCUUUGUCUUUAGUGCUGCAGGAUGUCAUGCCUCAUCUGAUCAGGACCAUGGAGAUAGGUAUUUUCAUAUUAAAAUUAUAUCAGUUGAUUAUUUGGUUUUCAUUAAGAUGGUUUCCCUCGAAAAAGGUUCUUUGCUCUCACUUUUUUCCUUGACUAAUUGAUUUGGGCCAGUUGGCCCUAUACAAAAUUCAUUCUUUAUGAUGUUUUUCAUGCGUGCCUAUCAUUUUGACGUGGAUAUCAUUCAUAAAAUAUCAUUAGCUUUUAUGUCUGAGUAAUGAAUAGAUGAUAGAAUUUGGUGGUUGAUUCGCUAGAUAUAUAACCAUGCUAAUGUCAUCGUUCUUUGACAUGUUAAUGUUUUGUUUGUCUGCGGAUGCUCAUCGAAGGACAUCAACUCUGUCUGGCACACGUAUAACAAAACUUAAAAAUUGUUAAUGAUCUUCAAGUACGUGGACUUUGUAAGCAGCGUCUGCAGGCAUCAAGUAUGUGGACUUUGUACGCAUACAUUUUGAUUGACAAAAAGUUGCUUGCGUUUGGCUCAUUUUAUAUUUCUGUAGUUUGGUACAAGAUCUGAAAGUCUAUAUUAAUGGGAGAAUGGUUAGAAAUAUAUGAAGCUAAUAGUUUAUGCAAACUAACUGUAACCGUCUAUGACCGAAGCGUGAACGUAACAAACACGAGAACGAGAUAUAGGAUUUUCAUUCCUACUUAACUUGGAUGGAACUUAUAUGUGCAUUUUUUAGAGGUAUGUCAACAUAUUCAUAUCCAUAUGCUUAUGUUUCACGACUACAGUGUUAGCACCAUUUUUUCUUGAUUACGGUAGUGAUUCGUCAGUUUGGUUAUACAUAAAAACAUGAGUUAUGAUCACUUAGAAUAGAAUAGAAAACCCUCCCAUAUUUCAUAACUCCCCAUACCAUUGAUUGCCGUCUUAGCUCAAUUAGUAGAGCGCGUGGCAUUCUGCAGCGAGGGUGUGGGUUCGAUUCUCCCAGACGGAAAUAUUGGGGCAUUGAUGAACCAGUAGAAUCAUCAAGAAAAUAAGUAAAGGAGAAUGAUUUAGGAUCACAAUUGGGUUCUUUACAGUAAAUGAGUUCUCUACUGGAAGGAUUUAGCUUAAUUAGUCACAGUGUGACCUGUUGAUGAAAAAUAGGACAGUGUCUAGAGGAGAAAGUGUACUGGAAUGGAUGACAUGGUGGUUUGGGUACCUGAAGUUUGUUAAUAAUAUUGGCAGAAAUUGUUAAUUUUGCUGAUUGAAAAACAAAAAACGGAUGCAAAUAAAUUGGAUAGGUUAAGAAAAGUAGGGGAAAAUGCCUUUCAGUUUUAAAUGUAAUGGACACUAUAGGACUAAAACAUCAUCAAAAAUGCGCAAAGCGCAUUAGGAUUUCCGUUUUGCAGGAAAAAAUUGUUUUAAAAUUUAACUGAUCGUGUCAUUUGUUGUCUAUUGGUUCAUACACCAGAUGAAUCCAAACUCUAUACAUAUAGUAUUUGCAUUGGUGCGAUGUGAUAUGUUAAUUCAUUGGACCCUUUGUAGAUAUCAUUAUUUUUUUAUUAUUUACCUUUGUGGGAUUGAGAGGGUUUAAAACAACUACGUGGUCAAGAAUAAGUACAUAUAUGCUUAUGAUUAGAGGUGGGAAACACGUUCGAUGGGGUUUGUCAUACAAUAACAUCUAGCAUUGCCCAUGCUUUGGCACUGCACAAGAAUAACAGUUACUUGGAUGAACCUACUAUGGAAUAUUUGAAGAAAAUGAAGGGAAGAGAUGAUUCAGAAUAAGAGUGCAUUGAAGGUAUGUCAACUAUUCGUAUCCGACUCUUUUCUGAAUAAGAUUUUUCUUUACUAAAAGCAUAUUUUACUCGGUUGGUGAAGGCUUAUGUUUGAUGUGGUUCUAUCUUAGUAUACGUAGGAAAUAUACUACCUGCAUCCUAUAUCGGUUUAUCGUUUGGGCCUCGGUAUACUACUUUGCAUUCAUUCUUAGAAUAAUACUCUUCAAAAGCUAAUCAGAGAAAUUCCUUCAGAAUUAAAGUUUGACAAACUCUCUUCAUAAUGAUUUCAGUCUGCUUUUCCCGAGACAGAAAGGCUGCUCAGUUUGUUUAUUCUCCAUGGAGUAUCAUUCACUGAGUGAUGAUUUUUAGGACUACUUUGCAAAACCCCAAGCGUAAUUCUAUUCAGUACCCAGUACUAUUAUAGCUUAAAGAAUCGAUAGCUAUAAUAGUAAUGUUUAUAUUUUUUCCACAAAAUAUUGCAGUUGCAGAUUUUAUGAGAUUUACCUAUUUUAAGG